AACAGCUGGAAACGGCUGCUAAUACCGGAUGAUGACGAAAGUCCAAAGAUUUAUCGCCUGAGGAUGAGCCCGCGUUGGAUUAGGUAGUUGGUGGGGUAAAGGCCUACCAAGCCGACGAUCCAUAGCUGGUCUGAGAGGAUGAUCAGCCACACUGGGACUGAGACACGGCCCAGACUCCUACGGGAGGCAGCAGUGGGGAAUAUUGGACAAUGGGCGAAAGCCUGAUCCAGCCAUGCCGCGUGCAGGAAGACUGCCCUAUGGGUUGUAAACUGCUUUUAUACGGGAAGAAACCCACCUACGUGUAGGUGGCUGACGGUACCGUAAGAAUAAGCCCCGGCUAACUCCGUGCCAGCAGCCGCGGUAAUACGGAGGGGGCUAGCGUUGUUCGGAAUUACUGGGCGUAAAGCGCACGUAGGCGGCUUUGUAAGUCAGAGGUGAGAGCCUGGAGCUCAACUCCAGAACUGCCUUUGAGACUGCAUCGCUUGAAUCCAGGAGAUGUCAGUGGAAUUCCGAGUGUAGAGGUGAAAUUCGUAGAUAUCCGGAAGAACACCAGUG
rnacentral:rRNA from 1 species